UGUGGUGUGGAUGUGUGUGUUGUGUAUUUGGAUGUGCAUGACGUGGAUGUGUUUAUGUAUCUGUGUGUGUGGUGUGGAUGUGUGUGUGGUGUGAAUGUGUGUGUAGUGUAUUUGCAUGAUGUGGAUGUGUGUGUUCGGUGUAUUUGUGGGCGUAUGCAUGUGCACUGAGUGAAGUUGCGAGUGUGUAUGUGUGGUGUGAAUGUGUGUAGUGUGUGCGGUGUGGAUGUGUGUAGUGUAUUUGUGUGUGUGGUGUGUGGAUGUGUGUAGUGUAUUUAUGGUGGUGUGUGGAUGUGUGUAGUAUAUUUGUGUGUGGUGUGUGGAUGUGUGUGUUGUGUAUUUGUGCAGUGUGGAGGUGUAUUGUGUGUUUUUGUGGGUUGUGCUGUUUGUGGGUUGUGUGUGUUUGCAUGUGCGCUGUGAGUGUGCUGGAUUGCGAGUGUGUACCUGGUGAGUGUGUGGCUGCCGCACCCCUCCUCUGAGCGGUGUGGACCAGGACUCCUCUCUC
rnacentral:lncRNA from 1 species